AAUUAUCUUGUAAAUCGAGGUACGCCAAUGCCGGAAGGGAAAUUGAACACGCCCAUCUCACUAGGAUUGGUCAAACUUGAAGAAGCUUCUCGGUUCAUGCCUUUUUACCUUGCAUCACCUGGUAGAAACUAUAUAAUCCUUGUCGAUCAUUGAAAUAUAUGUAGAGAGAGAGAGAGAGAGAGGGAAUUGGCAGAUUUGUUUAUUGAGCAGGCAAAGCAAUUUUCAGAGACAAGGCCCAGUUAUCCACAGGAAUUGUUCCAAUUCAUUGCAACAAAAACUCCAUCUCACGAUCUCGUUUGGGAUGUUGGCACUGGAAGUGGCCAGGCUGCAGCAUCUUUAGCAAAGGUCUACAAGAAUGUGGUGGGCACAGACACAAGCCAAAAACAACUUGAUUUUGCUGCCAAUUAAAACUAUACUUGCUAAUACUUCAAGAUCGGUUUAAAAAGUCCAAAACUUGCUAUAUUUUCAAAUGCCUCACUUGCUGUGUGUGUGUGUGUGUGUGUGUGUGUAUAUAUAUAUAUAUAUAUAUAUCAUGGCAUACUUUAUAUGCAGUAUUCGACUUGACUAAAGAUAUAAAAUUUACCUAUAAAGAAAGGCAUUGUCUGAAUACCUCCUUUACGUCUAGCGAGCGGCGCAGGAGUCUUUUCCACUUCUGAAUUCUCCAUAUUUUCUCAACUGGGAAGAAAAACCCUUUUGGUUUACAAGGGAAAUGAGUUGAAGGAGAGAAGGAGAGCUCAAUUUCUACAUGCUCCAGGAAACAAGAAUAGUUUGUUUCUUCUUUUAUGGAUUAUAUGGGGUGGAACGGCUAUGCUAUUUAUUUUUCUCUUCAUUAAAUUCAUAACUAUAAUUUUUGUUUUGUAUCGUGGAGCACUAAUUGCAAAAGCCAAGGAAUAUAAUAUUAAAUAUCAAUGAAUUAUAAGAGAAUUGAUUGCCAA